GGGGCGGGGCUCUCGCGGGGCGGGGCAGGUCUCUGCACACGGCCCGCCGCCGCCGCCAUCUUGAAUCGCGGGGCCUCAGGCGGCGCUUCCGACCGCGGCCGGAGCUGAGCCCCACACAAUUUAAGGUCCAGAAGAAGUGGAGUAUUGUCACAGCUGAGGAAUGAGAUUUGAAGAUGGUGGUCAGCAGGCUGAGCUGAUUCAGAGAAGUAAAGGGAUAGAACUAAGCGUUGCAGUGUGUAGCCUUGUACACAGCCCAUUUUAUCCACCUAAGACAAAUUCCCAGGAGCGACAUUGCUGAGUUGAAGGCUCUGGGCUGAGAGACUGAACACAGCAGCGGACAGCCACCAGAGCCCCGACCCGCAGUCUGCAGCCGCCAGCCUAAGAAGCAGGUCGUUACCCACGGUAACCAGUUCAGCAAACCUAGUCACUGUUUUUGGCAACCAGUCCAGGAAGCCAAACAGCAACCUCUGUGACAGUCGGCCAGAAAUGGCCAGGACUUGAUUAACAACCGACAGCUUCCCUGCCUUUUACCCGUUUCCAGCGUAGGACCAACCAGAGAAAUCCGAAUACGCACCCCUAACCAAUCACAUGGACACCCCUCUUCUAGUUCGCCUGCUGACGUCUUCCCCACGUCAGCAGCCUCCAGUCAGGGCACACCCGGAGCUUCCCUUUUUCCACUGUAAAGCUUUCCCGCUUCUCUUCCUGGCUUGGAGUCUCUGCCACACUUAAGUAUGGGACUGAGUCCCCUGCUAAGGUGAGCUCUGAACAGAUGGCUUUGCUUUUCUCAUGUGGUGGUCUUUGUUCAUUUCUGCAAUUGUCGUGGAGGUCCCACCGAGCUAUGGUCUGCACUGCCUGUUGUCGUGGACCCCAGGCUGCCGCCGGGUGUAGACCCCGGGCCUCUUGCACCCGCUCGCGCAGUGCGGGCUGAUGGCUCAGCAGCAGGUCUAAACUCCACUCUGUCUGCAUUGAGGUCCUUGACUGUUUAUUCUCAGCCUGAAACCCAGAUUUUAUGAUUGGUUCCCAAUACGUUGGCAUCCUUGGUGUAGUCAGGCUACUCUUUUUCAUCCCUUGUUGCUGCUUUUUGCUUUACUGUUGUUUUGCAUUGUGCUGUCCUAAGAAGGAGAAUUGCAGGGUAGGACACAGGCUCCAGAAGCCUGUUGCUGAGCUGACCUCCAGAUUUGUGCGUUUGCUGCGCUCACCGGACCUGCAUCCGCUUGGACAGACAUUGCUGUGGGUCAUCAGUAAAACCGAGGAGGUUCCCUUUCUGUCUUGAUUCUAUGUCCUGAGAGCUUAGCUUCGAGAGGGGGGUGUUCCUGCUGUUUUACUGCCUUCUGGGCGCACAGGCUGUGGGGUCUCCAUCUGGAGGCGGCUGACGGUCUGGGGGCCUGAGACAUGGGGUGCACAAGCGUUAUCUUCCCACUGACUGUUGCCAGCUCUCAUGGCGUUGUCUCAGUCUAAAUCCUCUUCUUAUAUGUACUGUCUUCAACCCUAAUCCUUGUGCCUGAAUCAUCAGGGAAAACGCAAAUCAAACACACAAUGAGACGUAACCUCAUACCUGCCAGAUUGGCUAUUAUCAUAAAUACAAGAAAUAGCAAGUCUUGGUGAGGGUGUGGAGAAAAGGGAGCCCUUGUGCACUGCUGGUGGGAAUGUACACUGGUGCAGCCACUGUGGAGAACAGUCUGGAGGUUCCUUGAGAAAUUAAAAG